rnacentral:lncRNA from 12 species
UGACUACAAAUACCGUUAUUGACAGGUCGGCGAGCCGCAGCGGGAACCCAGCAGCCUCGGCCCUCGCUGUCCCUCGGUUCGGAGCCCUGUCCUCGCCGCGGGCCUGCUCGGCCUCCGCCUGCCGCGGCUCCCCGGGGCCUGACUCGGAUGCCAUGGCAUUUUAUGUUCACAGCCACCCAUCACCCUUUGAACUUCCUUGGCACCCAUCCCUCUAGAAGGCGAGUGUUGUCUUCAGGCUCUCACCGGUGGGUAAGCUGAAGCACGCCGGGAUUAAGUAACUUCUCCAGUGCUAGAUCCUUCAGCUACAGGGCGUAAAACCCUAAAGUGGAUAUCACAAUUCCCAGUUGCCACCAAAGCUGCCUGCAACAAUGUCCUUCGAUUUCGUAAACCAUGGCACGUGUUAGCAGCACGUAAACAAACACCCUUAGCGCCAAGUCAGUUCUGCUUCGUCGUUGGCACAGUUUUUCACUAAAACCAUGUCAUCGUAUGAUGAUAACAUCAAAGGAAAAUCUGGAUACGGAGCUGUAUGCCUUCCCUUUACACGACGGGGUACGUCGGUGACCCCGUGCAGUACCCUUUGUUCUUCCCUCUGUUGACAUCACCACUGACAGUCAGAAAAGCCGCCCUUCCAG